rnacentral:rRNA from 1 species
UACGUAGGGGGCAAGCGUUGUCCGGAAUCAUUGGGCGUAAAGCGCGUGUAGGCGGCUUGGUAAGUCUGCUCUGAAAGCCCGGGGCUCAACCCCGGGAGGCGGGCGGAUACUGUCAAGCUCGAGUCCGGAAGAGGAGUGUGGAAUUCCUGGUGUAGCGGUGAAAUGCGCAGAUAUCAGGAGGAACACCUGCGGUGUAGACGGCUUUCUGGACCAUUGUUGACGCUGAGACACGAAAGCGUGGGUAGCAAACAGG